UGCCCCGUAAUGGGCAAAGAUACCUUGUCAGUGGUGGUGUUCUUGUAUUAGUCAGGGGCAGAGCAGAUGGCAGUCCUUUGUUUAGCCUAGCUUGAAACCUGGAUUGGUGGCCAGAUCUGGUCUAUGCCUAGGAUUCAUCA